ensembl:lncRNA
CACACAGAGAGCCCAGGGUGUCCCUCACUGAUGAGCUUGAGCUUUCUGUGAGACUACUGAAGCAUUCGAAGGACGACGCUGGACCAACCUGCCCUUAGACUUUAAAACGCAGCUUCAUAGUCAGCCGUUUAAGGUGAACCUGCCGGUGGGGGUGACAAGCCUCAAGGAUCCUCGUCAGGCCCACAGGCUGCCAGCCGCCGCCUCAGGAUACGGUAUGUUCGCAGGCUUUCCCCUACGCGUGUAUGUUUCCCCAACAACAACCAAAACUGUGUUUUUCAUUAGAAAUGUGUUUUUCUAGUAUAUGUUGACAUAUUGUCAUCAGGCUUGGAUGUUGUCACAGUGAGCAUUGUUGAACUGCUACACUCGGUGUCAUUUUGCGCCGAACUACCAAGCGUUCGGCAGUGAAAUGGCUUGACACAUCCACCGGUGGCUGGAUUACAAGUUUGGUCACAAUCUGAUCUCUGCGACAACUCUGCUGUAUAAGACAGCCCACCCACUCCCCACAGGGGGCCUUCAGAUGAAUCGCCCAACUACACUGACUGAUGCCAAAUAGAAGAAACGUGGAGGGUCGGACAACAGAAUUCAAAUGUCUAAAACCCCACGUUGUCCUUUCAUACCCACUCUCUGACAGGACUGUAACAGAACCAGAUGGAGUGGAUUCACAUUAACACACAUAGACACUACCUUUCAUAGAGAGGUCAUUUUAAGAAGGGUUGGGGCUCCCAGAAGACCGUAGACCUGACUUUGUCUUAAGGUGUCCCAGGAUGAAAAAGUUGGCCACUGAAAUUCAUCCCGCCAGCAGGAAGGGGGACUUGGUAUGUGGG